GAUGAAGAACGCAGCGAAAUGCGAUAAGUAAUGUGAAUUGCAGAAUUCAGUGAAUCAUCGAAUCUUUGAACGCACAUUGCGCCCUCUGGUAUUCCGGGGGGCAUGCCUGUCCGAGCGUCAUUGCUGCCCUCAAGCACGGCUUGUGUGUUGGGCCUCCGUCCUCCUCCCGGGGGACGGGCCCGAAAGGCAGCGGCGGCACCGCGUCCGGUCCUCGAGCGUAUGGGGCUUCGUCACCCGCUCUUGUAGGCCCUGCCGGCGCUUGCCGACACAUCAAUCUUUUUUCCAGGUUGACCUCGGAUCAGGUAGGGAUACCCGCUGAACUUAAGCAUAUCAAUAAGCGGAGGA
rnacentral:misc_RNA from 1 species